AAUAAGGUAGGCUUGUGUAAAUUCAUAAUCUAGACCGAUAUUGUUUAUAGUACUAUUAUUGUAGUUCAACAUGAGUUUUCGGACUCGCAGACACCCAGCUUUAAUUUCCAAUGCUUCUUUACUGUCAGACUAUUCAAACUAGUUGUAUAUGUGAAUUGACAUGCAGAAGGAUUUGGAUCAAGUUAGCAGUGAAGCAGGUUCUUUUCUUGCAAGUCUUUUGUUUUACUUCAACGCUCUGCCAAACAGUAGAUGUUUUUUUCUCAACCUCACUGGAAGUUGCUAUUUUCAAUCAUUCAGAACACAUUUGAUAUUCGCCAGUUGAUUACUUUAAAUUUGGUCAUUUCCGAUCAUUUGGGAUAUGAACAACGUGAGGGCGAGAGAAAUUUCCAACGGCUUACAAAAUAACAGAGACAUCACUGAAUAUGGCGAGAAGCCAAAACGCGUACGAAUCACAAAUAAACACCGAGAGUGCAGACCGGUUCAACUUGUGCGAACCAUCACCCGCCAGCUUCAAUAGGGAAGACGAGGGGAUAAGGAAGACCAAUAUGAUCAAAAUCGACCCAACGACAGUCUCACAGCCAGAAAUCAGCAAUAAAUAUCGCGCUUUAUUUUGUUUAUGUUUCAAGAUCGUGAAAAUCUGAGAAAUAAUAAUUUUAUGACUUGUAUAUCUCCUUACUUGCUGUUCCUUACAUGAGUCACCAGGUACCGUAACUAUAAUAUAAAUGAAGAUUUAUAUGUUUUAUUAUGUCAUUUUUAACAAAUACGAAAAAACAUUUGUAAGUUCCUUUCUUGAAGAAUGAACAGGACCCGGUGACUGGAUUUUUUUUCAAAAAAGAGUGAGUGCGGCAAUGAAUUCUCGGAAGUCAAACAGAUACAGGCCGGUGUACUGCAAGGCUCAAUGGGUAUCUGAGAAAUAUCAGCGUCGAAUAAAACCGUGCGCUUCGAUUCUGCAAAGAGGAUGUGUUUUAGGACCUACAUCACAUCCCUGGGAUGACCGAUACAGGAUCAAGUAAUUCCUCGGUGAAUCAGGACUAAAAAAAUGGAACGUGAGAUACAAGGAAAAGCAUAAAAUAACCCUGAACACCUCCUAAUCUGUUAAAAUGGUCUGAAUAACAGACGAGAAAAUCAGCAUAACAUCAUCUGGAAAUUGUUAUCGGGCAGAAGAGUCAUGGCCUUCUUCCGGCAAAUUGCUAAUUGAAAGAAAGAUAAACAGCACAUCACAAAAAACCCGGAUAGAUUUCCACCCGGAAGAUUCAGUCUUCGCCAGUUCAGUAAUUAAUAUUAUUUCUCGAUAUGAGAAGGCCUGAAAAUCCCUAGAUAAGUUUUCCCCGUUGCAAUUUUCAUCCUUUACUUUACGACCUGGCAGGCCCUCUUUUUAUUUAUUUUUAACGAGUUUCUUUAAACGUCUCAGUGGGAGUCGAGGACGGAGACCAAUUUGGCAACUCGGUUUUGGCGAACGUACCGGGUUUUUAAAUGUUUAAUCUAUCAUAUAAUCUAAUAACGACCGUCAUUCAUUAUCAGAGAAUAAAUCAUUCCACCAAAUACUAAAAAAAUGUGUAUGAUAAAAAAUUGCCUAAUUACAUCGAUCGAUUACAUAAAAAGAAAAAUUUAACCUAAGUUUUCUGC